rnacentral:rRNA from 1 species
GACGAACGCUGGCGGCGUGCUUAACACAUGCAAGUCGAACGGAAAGGCCCUGCUUUUGUGGGGUGCUCGAGUGGCGAACGGGUGAGUAACACGUGAGUAACCUGCCCUUGACUUUGGGAUAACUUCAGGAAACUGGGGUCAAUACCGGAUAGGAGCUCCUGCUGCAUGGUGGGGGUUGGAAAGUUUCGGCGGUUGGGGAUGGACUCGCGGCUUAUCAGCUUGUUGGUGGGGUAGUGGCUUACCAAGGCUUUGACGGGUAGCCGGCCUGAGAGGGUGACCGGCCACAUUGGGACUGAGAUACGGCCCAGACUCCUACGGGAGGCAGCAGUGGGGAAUAUUGCACAAUGGGCGGAAGCCUGAUGCAGCAACGCCGCGUGCGGGAUGACGGCCUUCGGGUUGUAAACCGCUUUCGCCUGUGACGAAGCGUGAGUGACGGUAAUGGGUAAAGAAGCACCGGCUAACUACGUG